rnacentral:rRNA from 1 species
GACGAACGCUGGCGGCGUGCCUAAUACAUGCAAGUAGAACGCUGAAGGAGGAGCUUGCUUCUCUGGAUGAGUUGCGAACGGGUGAGUAACGCGUAGGUAACCUGCCUGGUAGCGGGGGAUAACUAUUGGAAACGAUAGCUAAUACCGCAUAAUAGUAGAUGUUGCAUGACAUUUGCUUAAAAGGUGCAAUUGCAUCACUACCAGAUGGACCUGCGUUGUAUUAGCUAGUUGGCGAGGUAACGGCUCACCAAGGCGACGAUACAUAGCCGACCUGAGAGGGUGAUCGGCCACACUGGGACUGAGACACGGCCCAGACUCCUACGGGAGGCAGCAGUAGGGAAUCUUCGGCAAUGGACGGAAGUCUGACCGAGCAACGCCGCGUGAGUGAAGAAGGUUGUCGGAUCGUAAAGCUCUGUUGUAAGAGAAGAACGAGUGUGAGAGUGGAAAGUUCACACUGUGACGGUAUCUUACCAGAAAGGGACGGCUAACUACGUG